UACGGGGGGGGCAAGCGUUGUUCGGAAUUACUGGGCGUAAAGGGCUUGUAGGUGGCCAACUAAGUCAGACGUGAAAUCCCUCGGCUUAACCGGGGAACUGCGUCUGAUACUGGAUGGCUUGAGUUUGGGAGAGGGAUGCGGAAUUCCAGGUGUAGCGGUGAAAUGCGUAGAUAUCCGGAGGAACACCGGUGGCGAAGGCGGCAUCCUGGACCAAGACUGACACUGAAAAGCGAAAGCCAGGGGAGCAAACGGG
rnacentral:rRNA from 1 species